UCAGCCCAUGCCCCCACUGGCCACUACCGCUCUGUUCCUCCAACCAUCCGCUUGCGCCCACGCGCUCGCUCGUUGAGCCGUCGCGACGGCCGCGCCCUCUAGUCGCUCGACGAAACGCCGCCGAGCCACUGACGCGUCCGCUGCACGCGUAGUCGCGCUUCCAUCUUCCCUCCGCCUCGCCGCAGUUCCCAUCCGGAGGGAGGCCACCGAUCCAUGUCCGUCGCCAAGCGCUACGUGCUGCGCCUCUUCAUCUCGCUCAAGUACGUGACGGCGAACGUGGUGGACCGGCAGAGCGGCCGCAUCGUGACGACCGCCUCGACCGCGGAGCGGCCCCUGCGAGACGGGCUGGAGUGCGGCCGCGCCUGCAACGCCAAGGCGGCGGCAGCCGUCGGCGAGGUGCUCGCCAUGCGCCUCAAGGUGGACGGCCUCGCGCGGGAGCCCAUAUACGCCAACGCGGAGAAAGAGGUCGCGAAGAAAGGGUUCAAGAACCAGACCAAGGUCUGGGCCAUCCUCAACGCGCUGCGCAGUCACGGGGUUAACCUCCACGUCGACGACGAUGGCGACCACAGGCCGCACGUCUGAAACAACCAUCAGUUCACCAGUUGGUUCCUCGAACUCACAAAAAUAUCAGACAAAGGAGGAAAUAAACCAGUACUUCACCAAAAGGUCAUGCAGGAUAAGUGCCCUAUUGGGGAGGAAAUUGACACCUAAUGGUGUUUUGGUAGUCAAAAGGGAGCACAGGCUGUCAUGGUCUGGCUGAACUCCUGAUGGUACCAAAGCCCAGGGCAUGCCAUCUUGUAAUGGUGGAGCAGAGGGUGUAGGGUGCCCACCUUGUGAGCUGCUUCCUAGAACCAAUAUCAUUUUCUGCAAACAAGUACAGUUGUUAGUUUCAGUUUUGGAAAUCAUGCUUAAGGAGGAACCAUGGACCGUUACACAUAGUUAACCAGUCUAUGUCUGCUGCGCAGCUUUGUCAGAUUUUGACAUGGUUUUGUAGUCUAACGCCAUUUAAUCUUCUGAUAACGUGCUUUGAUCUGUGUCAAAGCACUUUCAUUCUAUUCGGCAUACUGUACACGUCGUAGUCGAAUGGAUAUCAAAGUAUUCAUAUUGAAAGAUAUUCAUCUAGAAAA